UCCGCUGUAGCUCAUUGGUUAAUACUUGAGUUUAGUAUCCGGGUUCGAAUCCCGGCAGCGGAA
rnacentral:tRNA from 1 species